CUGCUAUCGAGGUUCGACUAAGCCAUGCGAGUCGAAUGUAGCAAUACAUGGCGAACUGCUCAGUAACACGUGGACAACCUGCCCUUAGGUUGGGUAUAAACCCGGGAAACUGGGUAUAAUACCCGAUAGGUCUCGAUUGCUGGAAUGCAUCGAGAUUUAAAGCUCCGGCGCCUAAGGAUGGGUCUGCGGCCUAUCAGGUAGUAGUGGGUGUAGCGUACCUACUAGCCUACGACGGGUACGGGUUGUGAGAGCAAGAGCCCGGAGAUGGAUUCUGAGACACGAAUCCAGGCCCUACGGGGUGCAGCAGGCGCGAAAACUUUACAAUGCUGGCAACAGCGAUAAGGGAACCUCGAGUGCCAGGUUACAAAUCUGGCUGUCGAGAUGCCUAAAAAGCAUUUCAUAGCAAGGGCCGGGCAAGACCGGUGCCAGCCGCCGCGGUAACACCGGCGGCUCGAGUGGUAACCGUUAUUAUUGGGUCUAAAGGGUCUGUAGCCGGCCGGAUAAGUCUCUUGAGAAAUCUGGCAGCUUAACUGUCAGGCUUUCAGGAGAUACUGUCUGGCUCGAGGCCGGGAGAGGUGAGAGGUACUUCAGGGGUAGGGGUGAAAUCUUGUAAUCCUUGAAGGACCACCAGUGGCGAAGGCGUCUCACCAGAACGGACCUGACGGCAAGGGACGAAAGCUAGGGGCACGAACCGGAUUAGAUACCCGGGUAGUCCUAGCCGUAAACGAUACUCGCUAGGUGUCGGCCACGGUGCGACCGUUGUCGGUGCC
rnacentral:rRNA from 1 species